CUUAACACAUGCAAGUCGAACGAACCUUCGGGUUAGUGGCGGACGGGUGAGUAACGCGUGAGAAUCUGCCCUCAGGAGGGGGACAACAGCUGGAAACGGCUGCUAAUACCCCAUAUGCCGCGAGGUGAAAUGAAUUUCGCCUGAGGAUGAGCUCGCGUCUGAUUAGCUAGUUGGUGUAGGUAAUGGCUCACCAAGGCAUCGAUCAGUAGCUGGUCUGAGAGGAUGAUCAGCCACACUGGGACUGAGACACGGCCCAGACUCCUACGGGAGGCAGCAGUGGGGAAUAUUGCGCAAUGGGCGAAAGCCUGACGCAGCCAUGCCGCGUGUGUGAAGAAGGCCUUCGGGUUGUAAAGCACUUUCAGUAGGGAAGAAAUGCGUGUAGUUAAUAACUGCACGUCUUGACGGUACCUACAGAAGAAGCACCGGCUAACUCCGUG
rnacentral:rRNA from 1 species